UACGUAGGGGGCAAGCGUUGUCCGGAUUUAUUGGGCGUAAAGAGCGUGUAGGCGGCUUUACAGGUCCGUUGUGAAAACUCGAGGCUCAACCUCGAGACGCCGGUGGAAACCGUAAGGCUAGAGUCCGGAAGAGGAGAGUGGAAUUCCUGGUGUAGCGGUGAAAUGCGCAGAUAUCAGGAAGAACACCAACGGCGAAGGCAGCUCGCUGGGACGGAACUGACGCUAAGGCGCGAAAGCGUGGGGAGCGAACAGG
rnacentral:rRNA from 1 species